rnacentral:rRNA from 1 species
UACAGAGGGUGCAAGCGUUGUUCGGAAUUAUUGGGCGUAAAGCGCGUGUAGGCGGCUUAGCAAGUCGGGCGUGAAAGCCCUCGGCUCAACCGAGGAAGUGCACCCGAAACUGCUGAGCUUGAGUGCCGGAGAGGAUGGCGGAAUUCCCCAAGUAGAGGUGAAAUUCGUAGAUAUGGGGAGGAACACCAGUGGCGAAGGCGGCGACCUGGGCCAAUAUUGACGCUGAGGUGCGAAAGCGUGGGGAGCAAACAGG